GUGUGUGCUGUAAAAGCCUGGGC
rnacentral:piRNA from 1 species